rnacentral:rRNA from 1 species
AUGGCGGUGGGGGUGCAACAUACGGUGAUGGAUCGAUGGAGUAAGGGCCGGGAAUCGGAGGAGGGACUCACAGUGGAGGUUGGUUGCGUGCUCGGGGAGGCCGGGGUGGACGAGGUGACGCAGAUCGAUGGCGGCGGACGGCACGACACCGAGGUUGAAUACGACCAACGCAGCGACGGCGAUGCGGCAUGUUGGCCUCGAUCCAACAACGAAGAUGACGAAGACAAUAAUGAGGAGGCUUCUCUACAGCGUAUCACGCGCCUGGGAGCACGAUAG